rnacentral:rRNA from 1 species
GACGAACGCUGGCGGCGUGCUUAACACAUGCAAGUCGAACGGAAAGGCCCUGCUUUUGUUGGGUUCUCGUUUGGCGAACGGGUGUGUAUCACGUGUGUAACCUGCCCUUGACUUUGGGAUAUCUUCAGGAAACUGGGGCUAAUACCCGAUAGGAUCUCCUGCUGCAUGUUGUUGGUUGGAAAGUUUCGGCGGUUGGGGAUGUACUCGCUGCUUAUCCGCUUGUUGGUGAGGUAGUUGCUUACCAAGGGUUUGACGGGUAGCCGGCAUGAGAGGGUGACCGGGGAAAAGGGGAAUGAGAGAGGGAGCAGAAUGGAAGGGGAGGCAGGAGUGGGAAAUAUUGCAGAAUGAGGGGAAGCGUGAGGAAGAAAGGCAGGGAGCGGGAAGACGGGCUACGGGGUGAAAACAGAUUUGGAAGGAGAAGAAGAGAGAGUGACGGUAAUGGGUAAAGAAGCAACGGCUAACUACGUG